rnacentral:rRNA from 1 species
GACGAACGUUGGCGGCGUGCUUAACACAUGCAAGUCGAACGGAAAGGCCCUGCUUUUGUGGGGUGCUCGAGUGGCGAACGGGUGAGUAACACGUGAGUAACCUGCCCUUGACUUUGGGAUAACUUCAGGAAACUGGGGCUAAUACCGGAUAGGAGCUCCUGCUGCAUGGUGGGGGUUGGAGAGUUUCGGCGGUUGGGGAUGGACUCGCGGCUUAUCAGCUUGUUGGUGGGGUAGUGGCUUACCAAGGCUUUGACGGGUAGCCGGCCUGAGAGGGUGACCGGCCACAUUGGGACUGAGAUACGGCCCAGACUCCUACGGGAGGCAGCAGUGGGGAAUAUUGCACAAUGGGCGGAAGCCUGAUGCAGCAACGCCGCGUGCGGGAUGACGGCCUUCGGGUUGUAAACCGCUUUCGCCUGUGACGAAGCGUGAGUGACGGUAAUGGGUAAAGAAGCACCGGCUAACUACGUGCCAGCAGCCGCGGUGAUACGUAGGGUGCGAGCGUUGUCCGGAUUUAUUGGGCGUAAAGGGCUCGUAGGUGGUUGAUCGCGUCGGAAGUGUAAUCUUGGGGCUUAACCCUGAGCGUGCUUUCGAUACGGGUUGACUUGAGGAAGGUAGGGGAGAAUGGAAUUCCUGGUGGAGCGGUGGAAUGCGCAGAUAUCAGGAGGAACACCAGUGGCGAAGGCGGUUCUCUGGGCCUUUCCUGACGCUGAGGAGCGAAAGCGUGGGGAGCGAACAGGCUUAGAUACCCUAGUAGUCCACGCUGUAAACGGUGGGUACUUGGUGUGGGGUCCAUUCCACGGGUUCCGUGCCGUAGCUAACGCUUUAAGUACCCCGCCUGGGGAGUACGGCCGCAAGGCUAAAACUCAAAGGAAUUGACGGGGCCCCGCACAAGCGGUGGAGCAUGCGGAUUAGUUCGAUGCAACGCGUAGAACCUUACCUGGGUUUGACAUGGAUCGGGAGUGCUCAGAGAUGGGUGUGCCUCUUUUGGGGUCGGUUCACAGGUGGUGCAUGGCUGUCGUCAGCUCGUGUCGUGAGAUGUUGGGUUAAGUCCCGCAACGAGCGCAACCCUUGUUCACUGUUGCCAGCACGUUAUGGUGGGGACUCAGUGGAGACCGCCGGGGUCAACUCGGAGGAAGGUGGGGAUGACGUCAAGUCAUCAUGCCCCUUAUGUCCAGGGCUUCACGCAUGCUACAAUGGCUGGUACAGAGAGUGGCGAGCCUGUGAGGGUGAGCGAAUCUCGGAAAGCCGGUCUCAGUUCGGAUUGGGGUCUGCAACUCGACCUCAUGAAGUCGGAGUCGCUAGUAAUCGCAAAUCAGCAACGCUGCGGUGAAUACGUUCCCGGGGC